AAAUCGGGGGAAAGCGUAGCUAAUACCGCAUACGCCCUACGGGGGAAAGCAGGGGGAUCGUAAGACCUUGCACUAUUGGAGCGGCCGAUAUCGGAUUAGCUAGUUGGUGGGGUAACGGCUCACCAAGGCGACGAUCCGUAGCUGGUUUGAGAGGACGACCAGCCACACUGGGACUGAGA
rnacentral:rRNA from 1 species